rnacentral:tRNA from 1 species
GAGAGAGGCUUGCAAGCAACGAAGACUGCUAACCCUCGUGCCAUCGGUUGAAUUCCGGCGCUCCCUCG